UUGAUCCUGGCUCAGAAUCAACGCUGGCGGCGUGCCUAACACAUGCAAGUCGAACGCGAAAGUGGAGCAAUCCAUGAGUAGAGUGGCAAACGGGUGAGUUACACGUGGGUGACCUGCCUCCGAGUGGGGGAUAACGUCCCGAAAGGGACUCUAAUACCGCAUAACAUCCUGCCUUUUAACAGGUGGAGAUCAAAGCUGGUGAUCGCAAGACCUAGCGCUUGAAGAGGGGCCCGCGCCUGAUUAGCUAGUUGGUGGGGUAAUGGCUCACCAAGGCAACGAUCAGUAUCCGGCCUGAGAGGUCGGACGGACACACUGGGACUGAGACACGGCCCAGACUCCUACGGGAGGCUGCAGUGGGGAAUUGUUCGCAAUGGGCGCAAGCCUGACGACGCAACGCCGUGUGGAGGAUGAAGACCUUCGGGUCGUAAACUCCUUUCGAUCGAGACGAAUGGCCUCCGGGUGAACAAUCCGGAGGAGUGACGGUACCGAGAGAAGAAGCUCCGGCUAACUCCGUGCCAGCAGCCGCGGUAAUAAGGU
rnacentral:rRNA from 1 species